AACAACUUAAUCACAUUGUCAGUGUGAAUUACAUGAAUCCAUCUCUUUAUAGGCCAACAACAUGAAACCAGAGACUGAAGUUAACACCUGAACACUGACAAAAUCUUUCCUGUGAUUGGAUGCUCCUCAACGGGGGACGAUCCUUGAGGGCGUGGUCUCUCUCCCACUGUGACCUGAGAUGGUUCGUCACAUAUCUGCAUGGACAUAAGAUUUGAUUCUGCAGCCCCUCAAGGAUGCCAAAAAGGGAAAGUCUGACUCCAAUUUGACUAUGCCUCUGCUUCAAACACACAGCAGGAGGGAAACAGGAGAAGUGCAGAGCCGCCUGACAUCCUCGAUGAUGACAUCUUCAAACACUCCCCUGCACUCUGCAGACACACCCAGCGCUCACUGCAGCUUCCAACAUUCGUCAUGUUAAAGAGGUGGACUUGAGGCUGGAAGGUUGCUGGUUCAAAUCCCUGCACAGACAGGUAAAUAAAAAGUUAUUCCGGCAGUUUCUCGGCUCUUUCAGCAGCCGUUGUUUACGUGUUGUUGAGCAAAGCAGCAUGGACUGGUGUGAUUGUGAAACAGGGCGUUUCAAAGGGUUUGGAGGAUAAGAGUUGAUGUUUGUGUUGCAUCAGACCUUUUCAUGUACAGACCCACAGACUUCAUCCGUUUCAAAACCUGACAGUGAGUGAUGAGUGGAAUAUUGAACUGCACCUAAACACAUUAUGUACUUGAUUCUCUGAACUUCCACUGACCAUGAGUUACCAUUUUUAUCUCUGCGUGA